rnacentral:rRNA from 1 species
AUUGAACGCUGGCGGUAGGCUUAACACAUGCAAGUCGAACGGUAGCAGCUCUAGCUUGCUAGAGGCUGACGAGUGGCGGACGGGUGAGUAACGCGUAGGAAUCUACCUAAUAGUGGGGGACAACCUGGUGAAAACCAGGCUAAUACCGCAUAACGCCCUACGGGGGAAAGCGGGGAGUCUUCGGACCUCGCGCUAUUAGAUGAGCCUGCGUUAGAUUAGCUAGUUGGUGGGGUAAAGGACUCACCAGGGCGACGAUCUAUAGCUGGUCUGAGAGGAUGAUCAGCCACACUGGGACUGAGACACGGCCCAGACUCCUACGGGAGGCAGCAGUGGGGAAUAUUGCGCAAUGGGCGAAAGCCUGACGCAGCCAUACCGCGUGUGUGAAGAAGGGUUUUAGGCUCGUAAAGCACUUUAAGUAGGGAGGAAGGCCUAAAGUUAAUACGCUUUAGGAUUGACGUUACCUACAGAAUAAGCACCGGCUAACU